AAAACUUUCAACAACGGAUCUCUUGGCUCUGGCAUCGAUGAAGAACGCAGCGAAAUGCGAUAAGUAAUGUGAAUUGCAGAAUUCAGUGAAUCAUCGAAUCUUUGAACGCACAUUGCGCCCGCCAGUAUUCUGGCGGGCAUGCCUGUCCGAGCGUCAUUU
rnacentral:rRNA from 2 species